rnacentral:rRNA from 1 species
GAUUAACGCUGGCGGCGUGCCUAACACAUGCAAGUCGAACGAGGUAGCAAUACCUAGUGGCAGACGGGUGAGUAACGCGUGGUCAACCUACCGUUGAGUGGGGGAUAACUAGCCGAAAGGUUAGCUAAUACCGCAUACGUCUCCGAGGGGCAUCCCUUGGCGAUAAAGGAGCAAUCCGCUCGAUGGACGGGACCGCGUCCCAUUAGCUAGAUGGUGGGGUAACGGCCUACCAUGGCACCGANGGGUAGCUGGUUUGAGAGAGCGACCAGCCACACUGGGACUGAGAAACGGCCCAGACUCCUACGGGAGGCAGCAGUGAGGAAUUUUCCGCAAUGGGCGCAAGCCUGACGGGAGCGACGCCGCGUGUGGGAAGAAGGCC